GACGGAGGGUGCUAGCGUUGUUCGGAAUCACUGGGCGUAAAGGGCGCGUAGGCGGCAUCAUGUGUCGGAUGUGAAAGCCCGGGGCUCAACCUCGGAGGUGCAUCCGAAACUCUGAAGCUCGAGGCCUGGAGAGGAGAGUGGAAUACCCAGUGUAGAGGUGAAAGUCGUAGAUAUUGGGUGGAACAACGGUGGCGAAAGCGGCUCUCUGGUCCGGUUCUGACGCUGAGGCGCGAAAGCGUGGGGAGCAAACAGG
rnacentral:rRNA from 1 species